CGAAAAACAUCAAAAAUUUGAGUGCACAGACGGAAACGUUUGAUGUAGAAUCGCUUAAAAUCGGGGAAGUCUUCACAGUAAUGUAUGAUAAUCCCGAGCCAAGUCCCGAAAUUGUUGGGAAAGGUGUAGAGACUUAACAGGCGAAAUCUAAGUUCCGAAGCAAAUUCGGGAUAAGAUUAAGAGAAAGUCCAGACCACAAAUUCCAAGCCGAU
rnacentral:ncRNA from 1 species